UAGGAAGACAGAACUUCUUCCCAUCUUUAAGGAUCAAUAAUUGAAUUUUGUGCGAAAAGUAUGACUUCUACACAUCUUCAAACAGGUGAAUAUCUUCCGAUAUCUCCCGAACCACUGCCAUACCAUGAACAAAUGAACCAACUCGGACCCGUAAAGGAAGAGGAAACAAAUCAAGUGAAUGCUUGUUGUUUAUGUUGUGGUUUUUGUGACUGUGUCCUAUAUUGCUGCGAAUGUUGUCUAGGGGUUCUUGAGAUUGUUACUGCGUAGAUUGUGAAAUACCGAAAUAGUGGAAAUAAAGAGCUAUGAUAGUAGGAAA